rnacentral:rRNA from 1 species
GACAGAGGGUGCGAACGUUGUUCGGAAUUACUGGGCGUAAAGCGCGUGUAGGCGGCAGCGUGUGUCGGGCGUGAAAUCCCACGGCUCAACCGUGGAAGUGCACUCGAAACUGCGCAGCUAGAGUCCUGGAGAGGAAGGUGGAAUGCUUGGUGUAGAGGUGAAAUUCGUAGAUAUCAAGCGGAACACCGGUGGCGAAGGCGGCCUUCUGGACGAUGACUGACGCUGAGACGCGAAAGCGUGGGGAGCAAACAGG